GUGCCACCGCCGCGGUAAUACGGAGGAUGCGAGCGUUAUCCGGAUUUAUUGGGUUUAAAGGGUGCGUAGGCGGGCUAAUAAGUCAGUGGUGAAAUCACUCAGCUUAACUGAGUAACUGCCAUUGAUACUGUUAGUCUAGAAUAUAAAUGGUGCAGGCGGAAUGAAUCAUGUAGAGGUGACAUUCAUAGAUAUGAUUCAGAACACCGAUCGCGAAGGCAGCUUGCAAAGAUAUUAUUGACGCUGAGGCACGAAAGCGUGGGUAGCGAACAGG
rnacentral:rRNA from 1 species